rnacentral:rRNA from 1 species
UAACCUGCCUUAUAGUGGGGGAGUAGCCUUUCGAAAGGAAGAUUAAUACCGCAUAAGAUUGUAGUAUCGCAUGAUAUAGCAAUUAAAGGAGCAAUCCGCUAUAAGAUGGACCCGCGUCGCAUUAGCUAGUUGGUGAGGUGAUGGCUCACCAAGGCGACGAUGCGUAGCCGACCUGAGAGGGUGAUCGGCCACAUUGGGACUGAGACACGGCCCAGACUCCUACGGGAGGCAGCAUG